rnacentral:rRNA from 1 species
UACAGAGGUCUCAAGCGUUGUUCGGAUUCAUUGGGCGUAAAGGGCGCGUAGGCGGCUUUGUAAGUCUUGGGUGAAAGCCCUCGGCUCAACCGAGGAAUUGCCUUGGAUACUGCGAAGCUCGAGGCUGGAAGAGGACAGUGGAAUUCCCGGUGUAGUGGUGAAAUGCGUAGAUAUCGGGAGGAACACCAGUGGCGAAGGCGACUACCUGGCCUGUUCUUGACGCUGAGGCGCGAAAGCUAGGGGGAGCAAACGGGG